UACGUAGGGGCCUAGCGUUGUCCGGAUUUAUUGGGCGUAAAGAGCUCGUAGGCGGCUUAGCAAGUCGGGUGUGAAAACUCCAGGCUCAACCUGGAGACGCCACUCGAGACUGCUAUGGCUAGAGUCCGGUAGGGGACCACGGAAUUCCUGGUGUAGCGGUGAAAUGCGCAGAUAUCAGGAGGAACACCGGUGGCGAAGGCGGUGGUCUGGGCCGGCACUGACGCUGAGGAGCGAAAGCGUGGGGGAGCAAACAGG
rnacentral:rRNA from 1 species